GAUGAACGCUGGCGGCGUGCCUAAUACAUGCAAGUCGAGCGAAUGGAUUAAGAGCUUGCUCUUAUGAAGUUAGCGGCGGACGGGUGAGUAACACGUGGGUAACCUGCCCAUAAGACUGGGAUAACUCCGGGAAACCGGGGCUAAUACCGGAUAACAUUUUGAACCGCAUGGUUCGAAAUUGAAAGGCGGCUUCGGCUGUCACUUAUGGAUGGACCCGCGUCGCAUUAGCUAGUUGGUGAGGUAACGGCUCACCAAGGCCACGAUGCGUAGCCGACCUGAGAGGGUGAUCGGCCACACUGGGACUGAGACACGGCCCGGACUCCUGCGGGAGGCAGCAGUAGGGAAUCUUCCGCAAUGGACGAAAGUCUGACGGAGCAACGCCGCGUGAGUGAUGAAGGCUUUCGGGUCGUAAAACUCUGUUGUUAGGGAAGAACAAGUGCUAGUUGAAUAAGCUGGCACCUUGACGGUACCUAACCAGAGAGCCACGGCUAACUACGUGCCAGCCGCCGCCGUAA
rnacentral:rRNA from 1 species